GACGAACGCUGGCGGCGUGCUUAACACAUGCAAGUCGAACGGAAAGGCCCUGCUUUUGUGGGGUGCUCGAGUGGCGAACGGGUGAGUAACACGUGAGUAACCUGCCCUUGACUUUGGGAUAACUUCAGGAAACUGGGGCUAAUACCGGAUAGGAGCUCCUGCUGCAUGGUGGGGGUUGGAAAGUUUCGGCGGGUGGGGGUGGACUCGCGGCUUAUCAGCUUGUUGGUGGGGUAGUGGUUUACCAAGGCUUUGACGGGUAGCCGGCCUGAGAGGGUGACCGGCCACAAUGGGACUGAGAGACGGCGCAGACGCCUACGGGAGGCAGCAGUGGGAAAUAUUGCACAAUGGGCGGAAGCCUGAUGCAGCAACGCCGCGUGCGGGAUGACGGCUUUUGGGUUGUAAACCGCUUUCGCCUGUUACGAAGCGGGAGUGACGGUAAUGGGUAAAGAAGCACCGGCUAACUACGUG
rnacentral:rRNA from 1 species